UACGUAUGUUCCAAGCGUUACCCGGAUUUAUUGGGCGUAAAGCGAGCGCAGACGGUUAUUUAAGUCUGAAGUGAAAGCCCACAGCUUAACUGUGGAAGUGCUUUGGAAACUGGAUAACUUGAGUGCAGUAGAGGAAAGUGGAACUCCAUGUGUAGCGGUGAAAUGCGUAGAUAUAUGGAAGAACACCAGCGGCGAAGGCGGCUUUCUGGACUGUAACUGACGUUGAGGCUCGAAAGUGUGGGUAGCAAACAGG
rnacentral:misc_RNA from 1 species